rnacentral:rRNA from 1 species
GAUGAACGCUGGCGGCGUGCCUAAUACAUGCAAGUCGAGCGGACAGACGAGGAGCUUGCUCCUCUGACGUUAGCGGCGGACGGGUGAGUAACACGUGGAUAACCUACCUAUAAGACUGGGAUAACUUCGGGAAACCGGAGCUAAUACCGGAUAAUAUAUUGAACCGCAUGGUUCAAUAGUGAAAGACGGUUUUGCUGUCACUUAUAGAUGGAUCCGCGCCGCAUUAGCUAGUUGGUAAGGUAACGGCUUACCAAGGCAACGAUGCGUAGCCGACCUGAGAGGGUGAUCGGCCACACUGGAACUGAGACACGGUCCAGACUCCUACGGGAGGCAGCAGUAGGGAAUCUUCCGCAAAGGGCGAAAGCCUGACGGAGCAACGCCGCGUGAGUGAUGAAGGUCUUCGGAUCGUAAAACUCUGUUAUUAGGGAAGAACAAAUGUGUAAGUAACUAUGCACGUCUUGACGGUACCUAAUCAGAAAGCCACGGCUAACUACAUG